rnacentral:rRNA from 1 species
GUAGGUUGCGAGCGUUGUCCGGAUUUACUGGGCGUAAAGCGCGCGCAGGCGGUUCCGAAAGUCGAAUGUGAAAGCUCCCGGCCCAACUGGGAGAGGCCGUUCGAAACUUCGGGACUUGAAGGCGGGAGAGGCAGAUGGAAUUUCCGGUGUAGCGGUAAAAUGCGUAGAUACCGGAAGGAACACCAGUGGCGAAAGCGAUCUGCUGGCCCGCCCUUGACGCUCAGGCGCGAAAGCUAGGGGAGCGACCGGGAUUAGAUACCCCGUUAGUCCUAGCUGUAAACAAUGGGCACUAGGUGUUGUCGGUAUCGACCCCGGCAGUACCGUAGCUAACGCAUUAAGUGCCCCGCCUGGGGAGUACGACCGCAAGGUUA